GGAGCGUUCUGUAAGCCUAUGAAGGUGACUUGUAAAGGUUGCUGGAGGUAUCAGAAGUGCGAAUGUUGACAUGAGUAGCGAUAAAGUGGGUGAAAAGCCCGCUCGCCGAAAGCCCAAGGUUUCCUACGCAACGUUCAUCGGCGUAGGGUGAGUCGGUCCCUAAGGCGAGGCAGAAAUGCGUAGUCGAUGGGAAACAGGUUAAUAUUCCUGUACUUUGAUUCAAUGCGAUGUGGGGACGGAGAAGGUUAGGUUAGCAAACUGUUGGAAUAGUUUGUUUAAGCCAGUAGGUGGAAAGAGUAGGCAAAUCCGCUCUUUCUUAACACCGAGACGUGAUGACGAGUGUCUACGGACAUGAAGUGACCAAUACCACGCUUCCAGGAAAAGCCACUAAGCUUCAGUUGAAUCAGAACCGUACCGCAAACCGACACAGGUGGGCAGGAUGAGAAUUCUAAGGCGCUUGAGAGAACUCGGGAGAAGGAACUCGGCAAAUUGAUACCGUAACUUCGGGAGAAGGUAUGCCCUCUAAUGUUAAGGACUUGCUCCGUAAGCAUCUGAGGGUCGCAGAGAAUCGGUGGCUGCGACUGUUUAUUAAAAACACAGCACUCUGCUAACACGAAAGUGGACGUAUAGGGUGUGACGCCUGCCCGGUGCUGGAAGGUUAAUUGAAGAUGUGCAAGCAUCGGAUCGAAGCCCCAGUAAACGGCGGCCGUAACUAUAACGGUCCUAAGGUAGCGAAAUUCCUUGUCGGGUAAGUUCCGACCCGCACGAAUGGCGUAACGAUGGCCACACUGUCUCCUCCCGAGACUCAGCGAAGUUGAAAUGGUUGUGAAGAUGCAAUCUCCCCGCUGCUAGACGGAAAGACCCCGUGAACCUUUACUGUAGCUUUGCAUUGGACUUUGAAGUCACUUGUGUAGGAUAGGUGGGAGGCUUUGAAGCAGAGACGCCAGUCUCUGUGGAGCCGUCCUUGAAAUACCACCCUGGUGACUUUGAGGUUCUAACCCAGACUCGUUAUCCGGGUCGGGGACCGUGCAUGGUAGGCAGUUUGACUGGGGCGGUCUCCUCCCAAAGAGUAACGGAGGAGUUCGAAGGUUACCUAGGUCCGGUCGGAAAUCGGACUGAUAGUGCAAUGGCAAAAGGUAGCUUAACUGCGAGACCGACAAGUCGAGCAGGUGCGAAAGCAGGACAUAGUGAUCCGGUGGUUCUGAAUGGAAGGGCCAUCGCUCAACGGAUAAAAGGUACUCCGGGGAUAACAGGCUGAUUCCGCCCAAGAGUCCAUAUCGACGGCGGAGUUUGGCACCUCGAUGUCGGCUCAUCACAUCCUGGGGCUGUAGUCGGUCCCAAGGGUAUGGCUGUUCGCCAUUUAAAGUGGUACGUGAGCUGGGUUUAAAACGUCGUGAGACAGUUUGGUCCCUAUCUGCAGUGGGCGUUGGAAGUUUGAUGGGGGCUGCUCCUAGUACGAGAGGACCGGAGUGGACGAACCUCUGGUGUACCGGUUGUUUCGCCAGAAGCAUAGCCGGGUAGCUAAGUUCGGAAGAGAUAAGCGCUGAAAGCAUCUAAGCGCGAAACUCGCCCAAAGAUGAGACUUCCCUUGUGGUUUAACCAUACUAAAGAGUCGUUCGAGACCAGGACGUUGAUAGGUUGGGUGUGGAAGAGUGGUAACACUUGAAGCUAACCAAUACUAAUUGCUCGUGAGGCUUGACUCU
rnacentral:rRNA from 1 species